rnacentral:lncRNA from 1 species
UUCCAUUGCCGUGUCUUAAUUUAAUUAAAUCAUUUUCUUUUUUUUCAAUUUUAUUUCAUUUGGCAUGGCAAUCUUAGAAAAUUCAUAAGUCACUCAAUUUUAAUCCAAAUUUGAUGGGAUUUUUUGUGAAAUGCUCCUCGUGAUCUCUAGUUUAUUAUGGUGAUUUUUCCAGUUUUUUUGCACGUGUUGAUUUUAAAAAUGCCUAGGGUUUGUUCAUGUGUGUCCAUUG